UUUCGCAAUGCCCGAAAGGGUGACGAAGCGACGCCGCGUGGGUGAGGAAGGCCUUCGGGUUGUAAAGCCCUGUCAGGAGUUAAGAAAUGUAAGUGCGCUAAUAUCGCAUUUAUUUGACAAAGGCUCCAAAGGAAGCCACGGCUAACUCUGUGCCAGCAGCCGCGGUAAUACAGAGGUGGCAAGCGUUGUUCGGAAUUAUUGGGCGUAAAGAGCACGUAGGUGGGUUUGUAAGUCAGAUGUGAAAGCCUUCUGUUCAACGGAAGAAUUGCAUCUGAAACUACAAGUCUUGAGUGUAGGAGGGGAGAAUGGAACUUCUGGUGGAGCGGUGAAAUGCGUAGAUAUCAGAAGGAACGCCGGCGGCGAAAGCGAUUCUCUGGCCUAUUACUGACACUCAGUGUGCGAAAGCUAGGGGAGCAAACGGGAUUAGAUACCCCGGUAGUCCUAGCCGUAAACGAUGGGCACUAAGUAGAGGGGUUUUA
rnacentral:rRNA from 1 species